ACAGCGUCGUCGACAUGCAGUCCAUUUUAGCCAAAAAAAAAACCGCGGACAGCAUUUACUCAAGAUAGACAGCACGACAGUCGUCUCGUUCGUCGCCGGCACUUGCGCGUGGUCCAAGGCAAGACGACUAGUUGCCGAGGCGUUGUAGGAGUUGCUGCGGCUCUCCGACGGAGGCGUGGAUCCGCUGCGCGCGGUCGCUGGAAUUCAUUUUGCCGCCAAAGGUCAGGCGGCGGCGGCGGCGGCGGUGUGAGAUUUGCUCAAGGCGGUAAACCAAUUUUUGAUUUUGCCCGAUUCUCGAUUCAUGUCCUUGUUGUUCAAAAAAAUAUUUAGCAUCAGACUAGAUGUUCAAGAAAUGUUCAAUUUAUUGAGUGUACUAAACCUAGAUGUUGUUUAGCAAAGAAAUUGUUUCAAAAAAAAUGCAAGAUCUCCAAUGGCCAGUAAAUUGUUUCCUUACCAUCAGUAUAUUGUUCUUUCAACAUGCAGAAAUUGAGUGGAUCAGAUACCCAGUUCAGAUUAUUCAGAUUAAGUUUUUGCCACUUAACCUGGAUUAUAUGCUCCAAUUAUAUUGAUUUGUGAAGAUAAGUUGUUGCCUAUCUCCACUUCAAGAGAGAGGAUACAUGCAUGCACUCUACUUUGUUGUCUUUGAAUAAUGAAUUGUUCAGAACUAUCUCAUCCAUCAUGUUAUGCGUAUUCAGCAUGUAAAUAAAUUAUACAGGAUUUGUGUAGUUUGCCUUCUUGACCUUUGAUGUUCAUGAUAGGAACUGGUGCUUCUACCAACGAUUGCCAAUUGUGAUGCUAGUACUCAGUUACAAAAAUCUCCAAAAGUUACUGCAUCAUCUUUGUGAUGCUUCUACAAAAAUGGAUCAGGCAGCUUACUUAUUGAACUGCACAUCUUGGUUUCAUUCCUGUUCAGUUACUGCAAAACACUACAAAAGUUACUAAAUUGUUUGCAAGUAUUUGUCCUAAUUGCCUUAGCAAUUAUAGGAGGACAAUUUAACUAUUAUUAUUUCAGCUUGUCACAUCAACUUGUUAGUAUCUUGUUUCUGAAAUCUAAAAUGUCAGUUAGUAUCUUGUUUCUGAAAUCUGAAAUGUCAGUUAGUAUCUUAUUUCUGAAAUCUGAAAUGUAGUUUCUGAAAUCUGAAAUCUGAAAUGUCAAUUAGUAUCUUUUUUCCUCUCAGUUAGUAUCUUGGCAGUUAAAUUUGAAACCUGAAAUCUGAAAAUCUUAUUUCUGAAAUCUGAAAGGAAUGUAGUUUCUGAAAUCAUAUUUGCUGCUUAAUAUCAGAUUUAUAUGUUCUGAUUUCUCCCAUGGCUUUGAUUUUCAGCUAGCACUAGAAGGAAGCCUACUGCUCCUCCAUUUGUGAACUGAAAAGGUAGUGUGAGUUGAGAAGACAGAUUGUUUGCUGAGAUUUAAGGUAACUUUCUUCGAAGUGUUGGAGGUUGAUCGGUUGCUGUGGAGUGUGAACUGAAGUGGUGCACGUCUUUUGACAUUUUUGAAACCUGUUUAGCAGAUUGUUUGCAUGGCUUUGGUUCCUGUCAAAUCUGAACCGUCAAUUGUCACUUUUAUUGCUAGUGUAAACUGAAAUGGUCCUUUCUUUUCAAUUCAAGAGUGAAAUGGUGCCUGCAUGUAUUCAAGUGUGAAUUGAAAUGGUGCCUGCAUGUAUUCUAUUGUGAAUUGAAACAGUGACUUGCCGUA